rnacentral:rRNA from 1 species
CAGCCGCCGCGGGAAUACGUAGGGUGCGAGCGUUAAUCGGAAUUACUGGGCGUAAAGUGUGCGCAGGCGGUUUUGUAAGACAGGCGUGAAAUCCCCGGGCUCAACUUGGGAAUGGCGCUUGUGACUGCAAAGCUAGAGUGCGGCAGAGGGGGAUGGAAUUCCGCGUGUAGCAGUGAAAUGCGUAGAUAUGCGGAGGAACACCGAUGGCGAAGGCAAUCCCCUGGGCCUGCACUGACGCUCAUGCACGAAAGCGUGGGGAGCAAACAGGAUUAGAACCCCGUAGUCCCUGUCUCUUAUACAC